rnacentral:sRNA from 1 species
GGGGGUGAUUGGCUUCGACUUCGGUCGUCGAGGUGGGAGAAGCGAGCCGUGGUCUCCGGAACCACGUUAAAGAGCCGGAAACCAAUACAAACGCCGAGCCUCAGCUCGCGCUUGCUGCCUAACUAGCAGCAACGUUCGUCCGGCCCCAGCCCCACGGGCCGAUCACGGGCGACAUCUAGUGGGGCUUACCUUGUCGAUGACGCCAGCGCGCUGACAGGGGAAAUCUCAGCUGGCUGGGGUCCCGCGCCGACGCCGGUGGCGAGGCGGGACCCGAGAUCCUUCCGCCGGCUGCGCUCGGAGAAGUCCCAUCGAGAAGCUGAAGGACGCGGGUUCGAUUCCCGCCACCUCCACUU